CUCUUUGUGUUCAUCGAUGCCUUCAUCAUCCACUUGUUUGUGAGAGGAUCAAACACUUCCAUGCUUCCUAAGUGUUCAUUUCCAUCAUGUCCACCUACUGCAUAGACUUUACCUGAAAGGCAUGCACAUUAUUUGGAUACAGAGAUUGUCUGGCAGUGUUUCAGUUUUCACUUGUACAGUCUCCCUGCCUAUGUGGAGAAAUAAGCUCAAACAAAGGUUAAUGUUUUUAAAGGUUUUCCGUAUCAGGGUUUUAUUAAGUUAAGGACCCGAUAUUUUUAUAUGCUGUACUCAACCAGAGAGCUGUUUUUAUCAUAGACUUUACACAAACCUUGAGAUAUUUAAACAGGGAAUCUUCCCGUAGCUCAAGUAGCGCGGAUCAGAUCCGUUUCAGAUGUUUACCUCAGCCUCUCCAGAUUUUCUACAGGGAAAGCAGAUCUCUGUUCUGCUGCAGCAACGCAGGGGAUACCAUGUACAAAGGAGAGCUGCAUCAUGAGUGCUAAGCUGCUCUGGACUGCCCAGGCCUGGCUGCAGAAGACGAUGACCCAAAACUAAAGGCAAUGCAUUCACCGUGGAGGAAGAAGGGCAGCUUGGCUGUACCAGGAGGGCCGUGGAUGCAGGUGCACUGAGCAUGGCCAGGUGUUCCCUCCCAAGCAGGGUCUGCUGUUUCAAUGGGAUCGCCCAUUUCUGGUUAGUCUGGUGAGGGUACCAAUUUUCAGCUCACUGCUGUGCCUGUGCAAAAGGGCUUUUUCUAGAGUUUUAUCUUGGGUGGCAAGUCUGUCAGUGUGAACUAAGUGAAUAUUAAGGAGGUGUUACUGACUGCACAGUUACACCCUUCUCUAGGAUGACUUGACAGGCUGCAGGAUAAAAAGAAGCAGGCCGUGGACAGCUAAUUGCCAAAGCCCACAGGGAGCAGACGGAGCUACAGUGCUGUACAGUCCACUCAAAUUAAGAUAAAAUCUUGAUGUCAGAUUAAUAUUGGAAUGUAUCAGGAGCAGGUUAAAGACUAUUAAAAAGAUUAAUACCAAAAAAAGCAUGGUGAGGCAGAGACAUGAAGGUUAGAGAGCUGUAAGGCUGUAACCGUGCUGGCAGCUGCCUGUUGAUACCGUGACAUUUAUACUGCUCAGACUUGAGUUUUCCUGAUGGGUGGUAUUACCCACCACCACCAGGUGCUGCCUGGGUGGGACAGUGCUGCUCGGCCACCAGCAGUCCCUGCCUCGAGCAAUCCCCAGUGACAGAGCAGCUCUGAAAUACGGUCAGCCUCUCAAAGACCACCUUGAAAUGUCCCUCCCCAUAGGAAUUAAUUUCUGCAAACCUCACGUUGGUCCUUCUGAGAGAAACAAUGAGGAAUACGAAGGACAAUCGGAGUGGGGCGACAGGAGGAAGGCCAACAGGCGGGACAGGUCUGGACGGGUGAACUGAAGUAAAGCACCACCUGGCUUGCUAAGGGCUGGAGUCAGCACCGUCACACAGCUCCCAGGCAGCUCAGCAAGAAUGGUGAAGGACAAAUCCAGCACCUCCGGGGCUUCUCAGAGCAGCAGAACAGUGCUGUUCACGGCUGGCAAGUACCCCUGUCUUUCAAGUAAGCAGGUCUCUCUAGCAAUUAUUCCUUAACCACUUGCUUUCAAUCCUAUUUCUUCCUUCCCUUUGGCCCCAUUUUAUUUUAGGCUGCCUCAAAGCACUACCAUAGUCCUGCUAAUAGGCUCACAAGGUUAAUAAUGCAGUAACAACACAAGGCUGAUGAAAAUUCAGAACCUCAUUUUAACAGUGAAGCCCAUAAAACUUACUGUGGUGUUGAUAAUAACUGUCAGGAAGGCCCGUCCUGUUUCCUGCUAGCAGUAAUGUCAAAUGCAACUGCAGGCUGCACACAUUUUGGCAAACAACCUGUAUUUGCAGGAAGGGUUUUACUUUUUCAUUGUUUUGCUCUGGACUCUGGUUUCCAUGAAUAGAAUAAAGCCAUUAAUCUCAUCUGCUAGCAUAACUGGAUUGUAAACACCAACCUAAUUCUUCUUUUAAAAAUGUUCAAGUUAUGUGGCCUGUAAAUUUAAUUAAGUGUGCUAAAGAAGGGUUUUUGUAUCAAAAAAUUUUAUGCUAGCCUAGAUACAGCUGAAAAUUUUUGGAAGUCACUUAAUAAACAGUUGAGGUCUUUUACAGGGAAAAAUGAAAAAAUAAGGCGUCGAGGCAACGAGAGCAGCAUGUUACUCGCAUGACGCAAAUAUUAGAAACUCUGCUCAAUGCAGUGCGUUCAAAUUGGUGUUCGGUGACAACUGUCAGACCACAGCUGAUCCCACCUGCGGCGAUACAUGUGGCACUCUGCAGCAUGUGGCACAUUCCCUCCUCCCCAGGGCAGGUUCUGCCUACCUGUCUCAGGCGCUGUAUUUUAAACUUCCAUUACCAGCACGUGCAGAGCUUAACUGAAGUUCUUACUGUUCUGACAGGAUGAUGUUCAUCUGAAUGGCCCUGCUGUAAGGGAUGCCUGCCUAAGGGUUUCCUCUCAGAAGCAGUAAAUUCUUAACACAUCUGAAGGAUCAAAAUGCAAACUCCUUUUGGAUCCUACACAAACUGGAGAACAUAAUUUGUUCCUGAUGCUCCUGAGGCCUAACCUGCUCUCACUGUCAACACACCACUAUGAAUACAAGAUGAAGCACCAAUUGGUAAAAGCAUUUUUCUUCUCAAAAUCUACCCAAAUAUAAACAGUUGGUAUAGAACCACACCAGGGAUGAGACAGGCACCCAGCGCCUCACUCUGCCCUACCUGUGCGAGUAUUUCAUCCAGCCACAUAGCGUGAUGCUGGGGAUUGGCUAGCAGCCACUUGAUAGCAGCACUGUAAACUUGCUUUUCAUUUUCAAUGUUCAGAUCAUUGGAGGACAAGAGUUUAUGCAGGUGCUGAGGUGAGAUUCUCACAAAGUCUUCACAUUCCACCACCUCAGUGAAGUGUUCGCAGGCGUACUGAUCGGCCAUGUCCAUCAAGUCGAUGCGGUUGUGACUCUCUGCGAACGCCCUGACUGCCAGGCAGUUGGAGGGAUGAAAGUGCAGCUUCAUGUACUCGCAGCAUGCCUUUGCCACCAGUUCCACCUGAAGAAUGCAGGCAGCAUACAGAAGUGGCUGGACAUUGUCUACAGUCAGCGUAAGCCGGGAGGAGUACACAAACUUCACGAGGUCUUCUACUGCGUCACCAUCAAAGUCCCUGAUUUCAAUCAAAGUCUGCUUGGCUUCAGCCAUCUCUGAAAGAAACAUGGCUCUGAAGUAAGGUAUAACGCACGCUAGCACCAGUUUGUGGCAGGAGAUGAGCUUUGUACCA